UGUUUGGAAGGCAAAAGCAGAGAAUGAAUUCUGGGAAGGCACCCAGGUGUCUACAUUAUAAGAAUAAAUCUUACCUGGCACAAUGGCUCACACCUGUAAUCCCAGCACUUUGAGAGGCUGAGAGGAUCACUUGAGCCCCGGAGCUAGAGAUCAGCCUGGACAACAUAGUGUGACCCUGUCUCUACAAAAAAUGAAUAAAACAAUCUAGGGGUAGUGGUGCAUGCCUAUAGUCCCAGCUACUUGAGAGGCUGAUGUGGGAGGAUUGAUUAACCCAGGAGGUCAAGGCUGCAGUGAGCCAUGAUCAGACUACUGCACUCCAGUCUGGGCAACAGAGCAAGACCCUGUCAAGAAAGAAAGAAAGAAAAAGAAAAAGGAAGGAAGGAAGGAAAGAAAAUCUCAAACUGGAGAACGUUAACAGAGAAAGUGUUUCUUAAGGGAGUGUUGAAAGAUUUGGGAUGAUUCAGUCAGUCAAUGGACAAGAAGAAAUGAUGGUGUGUAGCAGGGAGAAUAUUUAUGGUAAGAGUGCAAGGAGCGAGAGGAGAUGAUUGGAAGCUGAGUGACAGGGCCCUGGGUGUGAGAAAGUGUGGUGCAAUUGGCUGUUGCUUGGUCCUGCAGAAGACUAGGGACUCAGGAGGCUCCUAAAGGAAUGUGGUUGGUAUAGAGGAAGGAGAUGACUAGA
rnacentral:lncRNA from 10 species